AAUAGUCCUGUAUGUUAAACGAGAAGACUUUAGAUAUGAUCCAGAGUACCACGGGACACGUGAAACCCUGUGGGAAGCAGGAGGGACCACCCUCCAAGGCUAAAUACUACCUAGUGACCGAUAGCGUAUAGUACCGUGAGGGAAAGGUGAAAAGAACCCCGGGAGGGGAGUGAAAUAGAACCUGAAACCCUGCACUUACAAGCUGUGGAAGCACAUUUCUUGUGUGACCGCGUACUUUUUGUAGAACGGGCCAACGAGUUACGUUAAGUAGCAAGGUUAAGCACUUAAGGUGCGGAGCCGUAGCGAAAGCGAGUUUUAACUGAGCGUUCAGUUACUUGACGUAGACCCGAAACCGGGCGACCUACCCAUGAGCAGGAUGAAGCGAAAGUAAAAUUUCGUGGAGGUCCGAACCCACGAGCGUUGAAAAGCUCGGGGAUGACUUGUGGGUAGCGGUGAAAUUCCAAUCGAGCCCGGAGAUAGCUGGUUCUCCCCGAAAUAGCUUUAGGGCUAGCCUCAAGGUGAGAGAUACGGAGGUAGAGCACUGAAUGUCCUAGGGGGUAUUGCACCUACCGAAGACUAUCAAACUCCGAAUGCCGUCAUCUUAUACUUGGGAGUCAGACUGUGGGUGAUAAGAUUCAUAGUCGAAAGGGCAACAGCCCAGAUCGUCAGCUAAGGUCCCUAAAUGUAAGUUAAGUGGUAAAGGAUGUGGGAUUGCACAGACAACCAGGAUGUUGGCUUAGAAGCAGCCACUCAUUCAAAGAGUGCGUAAUAGCUCACUGGUCGAGUGAUCCUGCGCCGAAGAUUUCCGGGGCUAAAACUUACUACCGAAGCUACGGCAUCAGUAAUGAUGGGUAGGGGAGCUUCCCAUACGGGUUGAAGCAUGACCGUAAGGACAUGUGGACAGUAUGGGAGUGAGAAUGUUGGCAUGAGUAGCGAGAUGUGGGUGAGAAUCCCACAGGCCGUAAACCCAAGGUUUCCAGGGGAAGGUUCGUCCGCCCUGGGUUAGUCGGGACCUAAGCUGAGGCCGAAAGGCGUAGGUGAUGGACAACAGGUUGAUAUUCCUGUACUACCGAUAACCGUUUGAGAGAAGGGAUGACACAGUAGGAUAAGCUAAGCACACUGUUGGUUAUGUGUGCCCAAGCAUUGAGGCAGUCAAAGUAGGCAAAUCCGCUUUGAUAAUGCUGGGAUGUGAUGGGGAGCGAAAUUUAGUAGCGAAGUAGCUGAU
rnacentral:rRNA from 1 species